AUCCCAUGCAGUCGUCAUUUUUUAAAACAGAAUGUUCUUUUUAUAGCCAUUUUCAAUUAUUUAUUAAUUUGAUGCGUAAAACCAACAAGAUUAUUUAUUCGACUACUGGAUUGACCUAAAAUUUAUUAAAUUUACUUUUCCUUCUCCUUCUAUGAUUAGGUAACAGAAUUAUAUGAACAUUUUUGAGAUAUUAUCCAAAUAAUGCUAAACAUUAUUUAUUUAUUAAAACCAAUAACUUUUAAAUGUCAAGAGUUUUUGUUCGACGAUAUUGUUCGCAAACCAUUAGUUUAUCGAACUAUGGUACCUACCUACCAACCACAACCACUUAAAGGGUCAUAAAAAGACGUGCAUUUGAAAUAAAUAUCAUCUUUAUUGGUACGGUAGUCGUAAAUUAUAUUGAAAUGGCGUUAUAUGGAUUUUAUGAAUUCGUAUCAGACGAAAUGUUAUAACUCGUAACUAUACAAGUUUAUUUUUAUUUUUUAAUAUAAUAUAAACAAAACUAUUAAUCAAAUAAACCUUAAAACAUUUCAAAUCAUAGCGUUGGUUUUAAAUAUUAUUUACAGUGCACAUCUAAUUUUUUUUAUUUUCUAUAAAAUAUUACACUGUUAAUAAUAAGGCUGGUAAUUAUUUUAUCGUAAAAAAAUCAAUAAAAAAAAAAAAAAAAAAAAAAUGAAAUAAUUUUUAAAAAAAAUCUGAACGGUGAAUAUCAUACCGCUUGAAUGAAACCACACGCCCCUACCUCUCCAAACUUUUCACACACUAGAUGGACACUUGAAUAUUAUUAUUAUUUUUUUUUUUUUUUUUUGUCACCGUCAUAGUCACCUGCUGGCUGCUAUCAAUCUCGGGAUUUUAUAAUAAUUGGACCCAAUAACGAAAACCACAUCACGCACACUCAUGUUAUCAUCGUAUUACUAUAACGGCGCUGGCGCACGUCCAGAACCCUAUGGUAAUUAUAGACAUGGCGUGACGCGCACACGCACACACACAAAUGAGAUGUAUACGCUAUACAUUAAAUUUACACACACACACAUAUACAUUAUACAUGAUAAUAAUAUGCACGUCCACAUUCGGUGUCCCGCAACGACGUUCGCGCACAUCAACGCAUACGGCUCUCGUUAUUUUUCGCUCGCGAAUAACUACGUAUAAUAUUACAAUAACGUCUUAAUUGUUGUUGUUGUUGUUGUUAUUGUCGUCGUGUCCAGCUCUGCCUAGCCGACGAACUUCAAAACUUGUGCCACUCCGACUCGGGACAAAAAAUGGAGGCGCUGCUGGAAGAGAGGAUACAACUAUUGCAGGAGCGCAUGAAAGCGAUCACUGCGCAGCGAGAACAAAUAGAAGCAGCAAACCGAGGGCUCGAAGAAGAGCUCAACAAACUCAGUAAGAAUUUCGUGAAAAUUACAAACAAUGUUAAAGUUACGGAUGAAACAGAAGAAGAAAAAACGGAUUAAUCAGUUCCUUGAUGUAUUCAAUUAUAUUAAUUGAACUAUAACAAUAAUUAUUUAAAACUACUUUGAA